UUCGGAUUGUAGUCUGCAACUCGACUACAUGAAGCUGGAAUCGCUAGUAAUCGCGCAUCAGCCAUGGCGCGGUGAAUACGUUCCCGGGCCUUGUACACACCGCCCGUCAAGCCAUGGAAGUCUGGGGGACCUGAAGACGGUAACCGCAAGGAGCCGUUAAGGGUAAAACAGGUAACUGGGGCUAAGUCGUAACAAGGUAAC
rnacentral:rRNA from 1 species